GACGGAGGGUGCUAGCGUUGUUCGGAAUCACUGGGCGUAAAGGGCGCGUAGGCGGCCUUUUCAGUCGGGCGUGAAAUCCCGGGGCUCAACCUCGGAACUGCCUUUGAUACUGCAAAUCUCGAGUCCGGAAGAGGUGGGUGGAAUUCCUAGUGUAGAGGUGAAAUUCGUAGAUAUUAGGAAGAACACCGGUGGCGAAGGCGGCCCACUGGUCCGGUACUGACGCUGAGGUGCGAAAGCGUGGGGAGCAAACAGG
rnacentral:rRNA from 1 species